GAUGAAGAACGUAGCGAAAUGCGAUAAGUAAUGUGAAUUGCAGAAUUCAGUGAAUCAUCGAAUCUUUGAACGCACAUUGCGCCCUCUGGUAUUCCGGGGGGCAUGCCUGUUCGAGCGUCAUUACAACCCUCAAGCUUUGCUUGGUAUUGGACAUUGCCAGUUUCUGGCAGGUCUUAAAAUCAGUGGCGGUGCCAUUUGGCUUCAAGCGUAGUAAUUCUUCUCGCUUUGGAGAUCCAGGUGGUUACUUGCCAAUAACCCCCAAUUUUUUCAGGUUGACCUCGGAUCAGGUAGGGAUACCCGCUGAACUUAAGCAUAUCAAUAAGCGGAGGA
rnacentral:misc_RNA from 1 species